rnacentral:rRNA from 11 species
UUGACCUCAAAUCAGGUAGGAUUACCCGCUGAACUUAAG